AAUUCAUAUCCUCAUAGCCAUGUUAAUUGGGAGAACAAUAAGAGCAUCAACAGCAACAUUAUCAUCAAUCAUCCCAACCCAUCUAUCUUCCUUUGAAUUAAUGACGUAGAAAGAAACCAAUCAUCCACCGACACCGUCACAAUGAGCAACGAAUACGAUUAUCUCUUCAAACUUUUACUCAUCGGAGACUCCUCCGUCGGAAAAUCAUGCCUUCUUCUCCGAUUUGCUAUCAAUGUUGAAGAAAGAGGAAUUUACAGAUCAAUGUUGAAGAAAGAGGGGUGAGAGAUUGAGAGGGAAAUUACCAUUUUACCCUCAUGUGCAUUGCACAUGACAGUUUUUAACUAAGAUUUUUAACCAGGUUUGGCAUAAAGGACAAAACAUGCAAGAUUUUGAAAGGUUAAGGACACCGCCUGUCAACUUUUGGCCAAAAGGACAGCGC